rnacentral:lncRNA from 1 species
GUUGUACUGCGCAUGCGCCGCGGCGGCCGCUGAGCGUGCGGGAGAAGUUCGGGAAACGGAGAAAAAAACUAUACGGAACGUCCCAAGCUGAGAGUCAGGGCGGACCUGGACUCGGCGCGCCUAGCUCCUCGGCUCCCUUUGCGGGGACUCCAGGAGUCUGCCCGCUCGCGCCGUUUCGUCCUGUCACCCCGGCAACGGGACCCUCUAAGAGGCUUGUUCCAAAAAUGUUCACAAUGGGGUUUUUAAAAACGGUUUUGUUAGGGACAAGUGCUUGUGUGAGUCCUCCGACAAUGCCUGCUUUCUUCUCUCUGCCCGCGGAGCGGAGGCUCCAGGCCUGGCCCCAGUCCGAGGCGCCUCUGUCGGUGUCGUCCUGCUUCCAAAACCGGCCUCCAGAACCCGCCUCCUUCCAGAACCUCCGUCCAGAACCCGCCUCCCUCCAGAACCUCCGUACAGAACCCACAUCCUUCUAGCACCUGCCUCUGGAACCCACGUGCUUUCAGAACUACCUGUUUGUAGAACUUGUUUCCAGAACGAACCUGCUUUCCGAAUCUCUUUACUUCCAGAGCUUGUUUCCUGGACUGACCUAUUUUCAGAACCUACUUUCAAAACCAGCUUGCCUCCAGGACCACCUGCUUGGAGAACUGGCCUGCAGCCCCAGGACUGGACGACCUGAGACUGCACAGCUCCCUGCGGGGCUCACCCGGCUGUGUGUGUCCUUCCGGGCCUUCCAUACUUCCCUAGGUGUCUGGUGACUCCGGAGCCCGCUCGGAUUUCGUGUGGGUCUCGCCUCAGCUCAGAACACACCCUUUGAAGAGCAGGAAGGCCAGGGCACAGGCGGUAACCACGGCUCCUGGUCAUCAAGUUCCUCUGAAGCCCAGGUCUUGUCCACGUUCACUGCCCCACCACAGGCCCAGCGGAGCCUUGGAGCUGAGCCCUGGGAUCAUUCUGGUGCCUGUGCUCCCGGCUCCGCAACAAGCACACAGGAGCCUGUCAUCCCCAGAUCUAAAUCCUGAAGGCUAAGCUCCGUGGUCUGCCGCAGCCAUCUGCAGCAGGCCCCUCCCAGCAACAGCCUUCUCAUAAGGCCCCUGCCAGCCACGCGAAACCUCCUGGCUAGGGCCUGUCUUCCACUCCUGGCCUUUUGAGACAGGGCCUCACUCUGUUCCCCAGGCCGGAGUGCAGUGGUACGAUCACAGCUCACUGCAGCCUCCACCUCCUGGGCUCAUGUGAUCCUCCCACCUCAGCCUCCUGAAUAGCUGGGACUACAGGCUUGCACCACCACACCCGGCUAAUUUUUGUAUAUUUUGUAGAGACAGGGUUUCGCCACAUUGCCCAGGCCCAGGCUGGUCUCAAACUUCUGGGCUCAAGCAAUUCAUCUGCCUCAACCUCCCAAAAGUGCUGGAUUACAGGGAUGAGCCACCAUACCCGGCUUUUUUUUUUCUUUCUCCUGGCCUUUUGGGGCCCUUGAAGUGUCUGCUCCCUGGGAGCCCUUCAGCUUGUCGUCCACUUGGUGGGUUCCCACCCGUCCUUCUCACUUCUGCCUGAAUCACACAGGCUACAUGAGACCUUCACCCACCCCCUUCGCCAGCAGCUCUGUGGUUCAAGUUUCCUCAAGGUUAGGGGCUCCUGGCCAUCUUACCUGUGGGCCUGAGCAUGGGCCGAUGCUUCCAAAGUUCACACUGGGUGCACUUGUGUGGGGACUUCCAUGUGAGUCAUCUCCUUGCAGGCUGCCAAGGUCCUGUACAGCAGAGACCCAAACCCUCUUAGCAGUCUUCAGAGUCAGCUAUGUGUACAGGAGGCAUUACCAUAUCAGUGACUGUCAGCAAGCAUGUGUGACUGAAAUGGUAUCCAGUUCUUACGUAUUUGUUUUGCAGGCUUCUUGGUUCAGCAGACAGAGGCCAUUGGGAAGUUAAGAGAGGCUCUCAAACUUUGAGGGUCAUAAGACUUCCCCUCCCUGCAGGGUGCUGUUUCCUGAAGGAAAAUAUUCAAUUACUAUUUUCUUUAUUUAUUUAUUGAAAAAAAAAAAAAAAAAA